rnacentral:rRNA from 1 species
AGAGAGAGACAUGCGCGCAUAUCAAUAAGCGGAGGAAAAGAAACUAACUAAGGAUUCCCUCAGUAACGGCGAGUGAAGCGGGAAGAGCUCAAAUUUGAAAUCUUCAAGGUUCUACCUUGACGAAUUGUAGUUUAAAGAAGUGUUUUCUGUUGAAGUUUUGGUAAAAGUUCUUUGGAAUAGGACAUCAUAGAGGGUGAGAAUCCCGUAUUUGACCAUUACUUUCCCACUUUGUGAUACACUUUCAAAGAGUCGGAUUGUUUGGGAAUGCAGUCCAAAAUGGGUGGUAAAUUUCAUCUAAAGCUAAAUAUUGGCGAGAGACCGAUAGCGAACAAGUACCGUGAGGGAAAGAUGAAAAGAACUUUGAAAAGAGAGUUAAACAGUACGUGAAAUUGUCAAAAGGGAAGCGUUUGACACCAGUGUUGUUUUCUCGAAAAUCAAUUAAAAAAGGCAGGAUUUUGUGUUGUAUUGACUUUAUCAGCUUUCUGCACUCUUUUCUUGUCUUUUUUUAAUGCACUUUUCGUUUAACAAGUCAACAUCAAUUUCUUUUGUUGUAAAAGGGUCAUUGGAAGGUGGCUUUCUUUUCGGAGAAAGUGUUUAUAGCCUUUGGCCUCUGCAAUCGGAGAGAUUGAGGUCUGCAGCGUAGAUCCUUCGGGGUUAGAUACAUUUGUGCUAAGUUAUAGCCUUUCAUAGACAACUUGUUGACUAUGAUCAGUCAUGUAGCUUACUCGCUUAUGCUAUUUUACCUACGCUUAGGAUGUUGAUGUGAUACUGCGAGCA